rnacentral:rRNA from 1 species
UGUGCCUACGGGAGGCAGCAGUGGGGAAUAUUGCACAAUGGGGGAAACCCUGAUGCAGCGACGCCGCGUGAGUGAAGAAGUAUUUCGGUAUGUAAAGCUCUAUCAGCAGGGAAGAUAAUGACGGUACCUGAGUAAGAAGCCCCGGCUGACUACGUGCCAGCAGCCGCGGUAAUACGUAGGGGGCAAGCGUUAUCCGGAUUUACUGGGUGUAAAGGGAGCGUAGACGGCAUGGCAAGUCCGAAGUGAAAGCCCGGGGCUCAA